GAUGAACGCUAGCGACAGGCUUAACACAUGCAAGUCGAGGGGCAGCGGGGAGAGUAGCAAUACAAUCCGCCGGCGACCGGCGCACGGGUGAGUAACGCGUAUGCAACCUACCUAUCAGAGGGGGAUAGCCCAUCGAAAGAUGGAUAAAUACCGCAUAAAACAGGGGCUCCGCAUGGAGAUAUUUGUUAAAGAAAUUCGCUGAUAGAUUGGCAUGCGUUCCAUUAGUUAGUUGGUAGGGUAACGGCCUACCAAGACAUCGAUGGAUAGGGGUUCUGAGAGGAAGGUCCCCCACACUGGUACUGAGACACGGACCAGACUCCUACGGGAGGCAGCAGUGAGGAAUAUUGGUCAAUGGGCGAGAGCCUGAACCAGCCAAGUCGCGUGAAGGAUGACUGCCCUAUGGGUUGUAAACUUCUUUUAUAUGGGAAUAAAAAGCACUACGUGUAGUGUAUUGCAUGUACCAUUAUGAAUAAGCAUCGGCUAACUCCGUGCCAGCAGCCGCAGUAA
rnacentral:rRNA from 1 species